GAGCAGACGUGCCAGCCCCUCUCUUCAGUGCAUCCCUAUUUUCUGAGGUACCACUAGGGUCAAGGACGACCCACAUCUUAGUAGAAAGAGACGACCACAAGACGAACACAGCAUGUUUGCGAUGCAACGGGCCCGUCUGCCUACAGCAUCAAACUGUCUUGUGUCCGAAGUGUGUGCCUCGUACGUAGGUAGCAAAUUUGGCCGUCGCACUUGUCGUGGGUGGGGCCCAUUUUACUGUAUAUAUCAAUUAGGUA